CCUACGGGAGGCAGCAGUGAGGAAUAUUGGUCAAUGGGCGAGAGCCUGAACCAGCCAAGUCGCGUGAGGGAGUACUGCCCUAUGGGUUGUAAACCUCUUUUGUCGGGGAGCAAAAUCCGGACGUGUCCGGCUGUGAGAGUACCCGAAGAAAAAGCAUCGGCUAACUCCGUGCCAGCAGCCGCGGUAAUACGGAGGAUGCGAGCGUUAUCCGGAUUUAUUGGGUUUAAAGGGUGCGCAGGCGGGUUUUUAAGUCAGCGGUAAAAUCGUGGGGCUCAACCCCAUCCAGCCGUUGAAACUGGGGAUCUAGAGUGUGCGAGAGGUAGGCGGAAUGCGUGGUGUAGCGGUGAAAUGCAUAGAUAUCACGCAGAACCCCGAUUGCGAAGGCAGCAUACCGGUGCACAACUGACGCUCAGGCACGAAAGCGUGGGUAUCGAACAGGAUUAGAUACCCUAGUAGUC
rnacentral:rRNA from 1 species